rnacentral:rRNA from 1 species
AAGUCUGGUGCCAGCAGCCGCGGUAAUUCCAGCUCCAAUAGCGUAUAUUAAACUUGUUGCAGUUAAAAAGCUCGUAGUUGAAUUUCUGCUGCAUCUUUGUUUUCCCUUCUCGGGUUUUCAUCGUUGCGGCUUUUUCUGGUUUUAUUGCUUUUGCUUUAUUUCCAGAUUGUUACUUUGAGAAAAUUAGAGUGCUUCAAGCAGGCUUUUGCCUUGAAUACUUUAGCAUGGAAUAACUAAGUAGGACUUUGGUUCUAUUUUGUUGGUUUAAGAGCCAAAGUAAUGAUUAAUAGGAACAGUUGGGGGCAUUCGUAUUUAACUGUCAGAGGUGAAAUUCUUAGAUUUGUUAAAGACGAACUACUGCGAAAGCAUUUGCCAAGGAUGUUUUCAUUAAUCAAGAACGAAAGUUAGGGGAUCGAAGACGAUCAGAUACCGUCGUAGUCCUA